UCCAGGGUAUAGCCUAGUGGACAUGGCACUUGCCCGGUAAGCAGAAAUUUGUGGGUUCGAUUCCCGCCCCUGGAU
rnacentral:tRNA from 1 species